GACGUAGGGCGCGAGCGUUGUCCGGAUUUAUUGGGCGUAAAGAGCUCGUAGGCGGCUUGUCGCGUCGACUGUGAAAUCCCGCGGCUCAACUGCGGGUCUGCAGUCGAUACGGGCAGGCUAGAGUUCGGUAGGGGAGACUGGAAUUCCUGGUGUAGCGGUGAAAUGCGCAGAUAUCAGGAGGAACACCGGUGGCGAAGGCGGGUCUCUGGGCCGAAUGACUGACGCUGAGGAGCGAAAGCUGGGGAGCGAACAGG
rnacentral:rRNA from 1 species